rnacentral:lncRNA from 1 species
GUCUCAGCAUGCUCCAAUUAGCAACUGAUGAGCAGAUAUAACUGAACUUUCCCAUCUCACCGCCUCUGAUCCGUUUCCCCUCAGAAUGCCUGCAGAAGUCGGUCCGACCAGACGCAGGCUCGACGGUGAAGGUGUCCACCGAGCUGCCUGUGGAUCAGUGCGCCGUGUGCACAGUGAGCGGGGUGAACGACACGGAGACGUCCUGCACCUCCUCUCUGUCCCUGGUACCCGAUGAGGAGGUCAAACUGCUGUUCAACUGCUCCCAGCCGAUUGAGCAGGCAUACGCGGUGGUGAUUACUCGCUCCGUUGAGUGCACUAAGAACGCCUGCAGCCCUACAACCGGAGAUACUCAACCCUCCAUCCUCACCGAGUUCACCAGAACCUUCACCUGGGAGCUGACGGCACCAGAGAAGAUAGUCGUGAGUCUGAACAUCCUCGGAGAAGGACUGUUGGAGACCACACAGCCAUGCUCGAAUGGAUUUCAGUAUUUUGUCGCAAACGGCAAAGACCAGACUCGGUACUGUCGAGGCGGUUCUGUGACGACUUUGGACCUGCCGGACAAAGCUGUCAUUUCUCUACAAGUUAAACCAAACGCUGCAGUUGAGCCUGUGUUGUUCCAAGCCUCCGCUGGACCAAUAAAGGGCCGAACAAUGGUUGUAAGUGUUGAUUCCAGCACGACGGUGGUGGUUAGCCGUAAUCCUGGCAAACCAGAAUGUGAAGUGUGCUCUCCGGAUGGAUCCACUCCCAACUGUAGCCCGACGGAAAAGACCCUGACGAACGUUGAUAAACUCUCACUGGAGUUCAGCUGCCCCAAACCCCAGGACAUGUACAGCAUGAAGAUGAACAAGAAGAUAGGUAAGAGCUGUUUUUAUAUAUGCUAUCAUACAUAAUACAUAUAUAUGAUGGAAGAGAAAGAAUGACAUUCAUUAAUUAGAAUGGAAUAAAUACUACUAUAU